GGCUAAUUGGGCCCGAUUUGGACAUUUUUACUUGGGGGUGUACUCACUUUUGUUGCCAGCGGUUUAGACAUUGUGUGUUGAGUUAUUUUGAGGGGACAGCAAAUUUACACUGUUACACAAGCUGUACACUCACUACUUUACACUGUAGCAAAGUGUCAUUUCUUCAGUGUUGUCACAUGAAAAGAUAUCAUCAAAUAUUUACAAAAAUGUGAGGGGAGUUCUCACUUUAUUGUGAAAUACUGUACAUCUUUUUAUUUACUUUAAUAUUUAUUCAUAGUGUGUGUGUUUGUUUUUAUAUAUAUAUAUAUAAAAUAGAGAGAGAGAGAGAGAGAGAGAGAGCGAGCGAGCAACGGUUGCGUGUUCAAAUCACGUCGGGGUCAUUCAAUGCACUGGGGUGAGAUCUACCAUUUGAUCUUGAAAAUCUCCCUUAAUGUCCAGGGAAGGGAAACCAGGCAGGUUAUGCCUUUAAAGGGCUCGUGCCUUGUCCUCUGAAAGAGCUCUUGCCCAGAUGUCAGACACUAGUCGCAACAGUCACAGCCCACCACCUGUCUCCGAGUUCCAAUGCGUCUUGAUCGCCACGCCGAUGAACAAGUAUGCCUUGCACCAUGAUGCGCUAUAGGCUUCGAGCUGGGACCUCGUGGCGCAACGGUAGUGCGUCUGACUGCAGAUCAGAAGGUUCAAAUCAUGUCGGGGUCAUUCAAUGUGCUCUUUUUCACACAGACCCAUGAUUUAUUUUCUGUGCAGUCUAAUAAGGAUGCUGUUAUAUGGACUCCAAUCUCUAUGAUGACCACCCAUGUCUUUGUCAACUUCAUGCUAAAAGGUAACAAAGCUUAGGUAGCAACACUCUCACCUGGUAACCAUUAGUAACUUGACAAUCUGCUGAAUGUUUACCCUUAGUUUGCCCAUUUUGCUUGCUGAACAAAACAUGCUGGAAAGAGGCACCUUAGAUGGUUUCACUGGACCUCUCAGAGGAUCUGGAGGGUACUACAACACCCAAACAGGCACUUGAACCCUGGACCCUCAGAUUAAAAGUCUGACGCUGUACCGACUGAGCUAUCUGGGCUCGAGAAGAGAGAGAGCGCACUUUACCCUCGAGCUUGUAGGUCAGGCCUGUGGACGCUCUAGUUCAACGGUUCUCACAGACAUAAAUGGUGCUCAGCCCUUGGCUUGGAAAGGGCCCAUC
ensembl:lncRNA